CUUCAGUCAAACGACUCAGAAGGGGUAGAGGAAAAGACAGCACUGAAGGGGAGACAGAGUGGGUCUCUUAUGCAUACAAAGAGAUGCGUUUUUACAGGCUGAGGUUGAACCAACAUUCCUUUUGCGCUGGAGCCUAGUUAUAGCUGCAGAGAUGGUGGCUAAGUUACAAGAACUUCCUAGACUGCCCUGGGUUUCCGGAAGUGAAGGUGUAUCAGCCACGGUUCUCAGAGUAGGGAGAUCCAUCCCAAGGAAUUGGCUCACAUGGUCUCGGAGAAAUCCCACCAUCUGUUGCAAGCUGGAGACGCAGGAAAGCCAGCGGUGUGACUCCCACCCCCCUCCAGUGGCUUGGGAACCAGGACAUGGAUGGUAUCCUCGAGGCUACGAGUUCCAAGACCCAGGUGCCGGCAAGUUGUUUCUGAGCCUUCUGCUGUCCCGGAUCGGAGCCUCCCCGACUUGCAGGCUGCCUUCCCUGGCUGCAUCCCUGGGAUGGGAUUCUGUUUCUGGAGACCAACAUCCUGUGAGAGACCAGCGCUGGUCGGGCCCACCUGGGCCCAAAUCGUCUGGUUCCCCAAAACCUAGAAGACAAAGUACCAAGUCCUGUUACACCGUGUCGGUUUCUUCCAAAUCAACUCUAAGCCUAUCAUGCAAGCACCUUCCAAAAGCCCUACCUAGGAUCACAGGAGGCUUUGGCCAAUAGAAGCCGGAACAGACUCCACUAUAGGAAUUUCCUGGAGUGCCUCUCCAUCAACACACCCUUCUUUCCUCAUUGUCAACAGGCCCAUUUUCUUACCCCCUCACUGCCUUCAGAGCGAGAGUCCUGUGAGGAGUCAAGCACUGAACUGACCCUGCCACAUGGCCUGGUGCAGGGACCAGGGCGCCACGCCUGGGCCUCUGCUCUUAGUGAAAUGCAUAUUGGCCAUCAGGCUGCUCGGGUCCAGACCCUGGCUCUGCUACCUACCACCUGUGUCACCCUGGGGUAGUGACCACGUCUAUCUGAGCCACAGAGCACACUGCUUAGCCAACCUAAGCCUCUAUUUCUGUACUGGGGACAGUAAUGGCCCCUCCUGGGACUGAUUUGAGGACUAUACGAGAUGUUACAGGGAAAGACCUGGCCCCUCCCUCCUGUGGGCUCGGUUAGCCCCCAGAGGAGACAUCCCACUUGGGGAUGGAGGGCUUUCUGCUCUGAACCCUGGCUGGUCAGAAGGCAGGGUUCCCAGCAAGUGGGACAGCUCUCUGGGCACCCUCUGUGUUUGCCUGCCUUGGGCCAACCUGUUCCCUAAAUCAGGCCGGUGAGCUAGUGUAAUCCCAGCAUUCUAAAAGGCUGAGGCAGGACAAUUGCAAGUUUGAGCCCAGCUUGGACAACUUAGUGACUUAGGGAGUCUGUCUCAAAAUU